GCGCGGGAAGCAAAUAGAUCUCUUCGGAGUGACGUUUGUGGAACGAGCGGCGGACGGGUGAGUAACACGUGGGCAACCUACCUGUAAGACUGGGAUAACUCCGGGAAACCGGGGCUAAUACCGGAUAAUACUUUGCUUCGCAUGAAGGAAAGUUGAAAGAUGGCUUCUGGCUAUCACUUACAGAUGGGCCCGCGGCGCAUUAGCUAGUUGGUGAGGUAAGAGCUCACCAAGGCAACGAUGCGUAGCCGACCUGAGAGGGUGAUCGGCCACACUGGGACUGAGACACGGCCCAGACUCCUACGGGAGGCAGCAGUAGGGAAUCUUCCGCAAUGGACGAAAGUCUGACGGAGCAACGCCGCGUGAACGAAGAAGGUUUUCGGAUCGUAAAGUUCUGUUGUUAGGGAAGAACAAGUACCGUUCAAACAGGGCGGUACCUUGACGGUACCUAUCGAGGAAGCCCCGGCUAACUACGUGCCAGCAGCCGCGGUAAUACGUAGGGGGCAAGCGUUGUCCGGAAUUAUUGGGCGUAAAGCGCGCGUAGGCGGUUUCUUAAGUCUGAUGUGAAAUCUUGCGGCUCAACCGCAAGCGGUCAUUGGAAACUGGGGAACUUGAGUACAGAAGAGGAGAGCGG
rnacentral:rRNA from 1 species